AACGAACGCUGGCGGCAGGCUUAACACAUGCAAGUCGAACGCAUCCUUCGGGGUGAGUGGCAGACGGGUGAGUAACGCGUGGGAACGUGCCCUUCAGUUCGGGAUAACCCAGGGAAACUUGGGCUAAUACCGGAUACGUGCGAGAGCAGAAAGAUUUAUCGCUGAAGGAUCGGCCCGCGUCUGAUUAGCUAGUUGGUGGGGUAAUGGCCCACCAGGGCGACGGUCAGUAGCUGGUCUGAGAGGAUGAUCAGCCACAUUGGGACUGAGACACGGCCCAAACUCCUACGGGAGGAAGCAGUGGGGAAUAUUGGAAAAUGGGCGCAAGCCUGAUCCAGCCAUGCCGCGUGAGUGAUGAAGGCCUUAGGGUUGUAAAGCUCUUUCGUCCGGGACGAUAAUGGCGGUACCGGAAGAAGAAGCCCCGGCUAACUUCGUGCCAGCCGCCGCCGUAA
rnacentral:rRNA from 1 species